GUGCCCCCAAAGCUGAACUAUUUUAGAAAGGAAAGCAAAUUUAAAAAUCACUUUUCUGAGGAUUAAAAAAGGCCGGGAAACCGGCUCGUCGGAGGCACAAACAGCGCGGAGUAGGGGCCAGGGCUGGCGAGCGCGGGGAAGGGUGCAGCCCUCGGGAACCCCGGGGACCUCGGCGGGUCUCCACCCCUGGGAGAAGAAGCAGAGCAAGCGCGAAUUAUUUGAAGAUGAGAUGAAGAACAAAGCCCAUAUGAGUCAUGUGUGACCUUGUGCAUUUUACUUAACUCUCUCGGUAUCGGUUUCUUUCAAUCUGUUCAACAACCUGUAAGACAGCAGAGUUGUGGUGAGUUUUUAAUAAGAGCACUAGUUUCCAAUUUUGUGCCAGGGAGUUGACAUUCUUGAACUCUUCAGAAGAAUAAUUACAUUCAUGUAAUAAGCAAAUGUGAUACUGUACCCCUUCCCCACCACCUAAAUAUUUCUGAAUUCUCUUGUGAUAGGUCAAAAAAUUGAGGAAGACAUAAUUAGCAGCUGAAGAAUGACUCAGAUCAUCAGUAGUGAAUAAGAAUGAUUAGGGGGAAAGGGAACAUGUGUUUAAUACAUGAAGGAACGUGUCAGAGAGAUUAAGAACUUGCCCAUGGUGACACAGCAGAGAGACAGUUUAAUCAGUCCGUGACCAAAAUCAAACAGAGUAAACUGUGUCAUCAUGGAGAUCUGCCCAGGAAAUCCCCAAAAUACAGAAGGAUCAGAAGUAGAUGGAAAUAAUGUCAUAGAACGUCUCUCACAACUGUGUUAUAAGAAUGACAGGGAAGCUACAGGUUACAACAGAUUUGUGAACUCAGCCAAGCACAGUGGUGGCAGGGCCUAGCUGCUACAAAGAAGACAUGUUUUAGACAAAUACUCAUGUGUAUGGGCAAAAAACUCGAGGACUGUAUUUGUGACUAAUUGUGUAACAGGGUAUUUUAGUUCCUGUUCUGUGGAAAGUGUAAAGCAUUCCAACAAAGGGUUUUAAUGUAGAUUUUUUUUUGCACCCAUGCUUUGAUUGCUAAAUGUAAUAGUCAGAUCGUGACGCUGAAUAAAUGUCUUUUUC
rnacentral:lncRNA from 1 species